CCGGAAAGCAUCUUGUGGACGGAGAGCUCAGACGAGCUGGAAGCAGUCUGGCAGCUGAUGGGUCCGCUUGAGCAGGGGGAAGGAAGUCCAGGUCAAGACCCGAGCAGCCGUGUUGUGAACCAUCUGCAGGCCUCUAAAACAUUUCAUUGGUAACCCAGACAGGAGAGCAUUAUAAUAAUCAAUGCGCAAAGACACAAAUAUA